ACGGAAGGCAGCAGUGGGGAAUAUUGCACAAUGGGGGAAACCCUGAUGCAGCGACGCCGCGUGAGUGAAGAAGUUAUUCGUAAUGUAAAGCUCUAUCAGCAGGGAAGAAAAUGACGGUACCCGUAUAAGAAGUCCCGGCUAACUACGUGCCAGCAGCCGCGGUAAUACGUAGGGGACAAGCGUUAUCCGGAUUUACUGGGUGUAAAGGGUGCGCAGGCGGCAAAGUAAGUCAGAAGUGAAAGCCCGUGGCUCAACUGCGGGACUGCUUUUGAAACUGCUAAGCUAGAGUACUGGAAGGGUAAGCGGAAUUCCUAGUGUAGCGGUGAAAUGCGUAGAUAUUAGGAAGAACACCGGAGGCGAAGGCGGCUUACUGGACAGAAACUGACGCUCAGGCACGAAGGCGUGGGGAGCAAACAGGAUUAGAUACCCUGGUA
rnacentral:rRNA from 1 species